CACCGAGUCCGUGGUUCCGGAGGACCGGAACCUGGUGCAAAAGGGA
rnacentral:sRNA from 1 species